AGAGUUUGAUCCUGGCUCAGGACGAACGCUGGCGGCGUGCUUAACACAUGCAAGUCGAGCGGAAAGGCCCUUCGGGGUACUCGAGCGGCGAACGGGUGAGUAACACGUGAGCAACCUGCCCUUGGCUUUGGGAUAACCCUCGGAAACGGGGGCUAAUACCGGAUAUGCACCGACUGUCGCAUGGUGGUUGGUGGAAAGUUUUUCGGCUGAGGAUGGGCUCGCGGCCUAUCAGCUUGUUGGUGGGGUGAUGGCCUACCAAGGCGACGACGGGUAGCCGGCCUGAGAGGGCGACCGGCCACACUGGGACUGAGACACGGCCCAGACUCCUACGGGAGGCAGCAGUGGGGAAUAUUGCACAAUGGGCGCAAGCCUGAUGCAGCGACGCCGCGUGAGGGAUGACGGCCUUCGGGUUGUAAACCUCUUUCAGCAGGGACGAAGCGAGAGUGACGGUACCUGCAGAAGAAGCGCCGGCCAACUACGUGCCAGCAGCCGCGGUAAGACGUAGGGCGCGAGCGUUGUCCGGAUUUAUUGGGCGUAAAGAGCUCGUAGGCGGCUUGUCGCGUCGACUGUGAAAACCCGCGGCUCAACCGUGUGGUCUGCAGUCGAUACGGGCAGGCUAGAGUUCGGUAGGGGAGACUGGAAUUCCUGGUGUAGCGGUGAAAUGCGCAGAUAUCAGGAGGAACACCGGUGGCGAAGGCGGGUCUCUGGGCCGAUACUGACGCUGAGGAGCGAAAGCGUGGGGAGCGAACAGGAUUAGAUACCCCUGUAGUCC
rnacentral:rRNA from 1 species